rnacentral:sRNA from 1 species
UCUUCAGUCAAGGGUAUAUGAGUAGCUGCACUCCCCUGCUAGAACCUCCAAACAAGCUCAAGGUCAGGUUUCUUAAAGUGGAAAAAC